UACGUAGGUUGCAAGCGUUGUCCGGAUUUACUGGGUGUAAAGGGCGUGUAGGCGGAGGCGCAAGUUGGGAGUGAAAUCUAUGGGCUCAACCCAUAAACUGCUCUCAAAACUGUGCCCCUUGAGUAUCGGAGAGGCAAGCGGAAUUCCUAGUGUAGCGGUGAAAUGCGUAGAUAUUAGGAGGAACACCAGUGGCGAAGGCGGCUUGCUGGACGACAACUGACGCUGAGGCGCGAAAGCGUGGGGAGCAAACAGG
rnacentral:rRNA from 1 species